rnacentral:rRNA from 1 species
UCUGGCUCAGGAUGAACGCUAGCUACAGGCUUAACACAUGCAAGUCGAGGGGCAGCAUGAUCUGUGCUUGCACAGUUGAUGGCGACCGGCGCACGGGUGAGUAACGCGUAUCCAACCUUCCCCGCAGUAGGGCAUAGCCCGGCGAAAGUCGGAUUAAUACCCUAUGUUAUCCGACGAUGACAUCUGAAUUGGAUCAAAGGUUUACCGCUGUGGGAUGGGGGAUGCGUCCGAUUAGGUAGUCGGCGGGGUAACGGCCCACCGAGCCUUCGAUCGGUAGGGGUUCUGAGAGGAAGGUCCCCCACACUGGUACUGAGACACGGACCAGACUCCUACGGGAGGCAGCAGUGAGGAAUAUUGGUCAAUGGGCGUAAGCCUGAACCAGCCAAGUAGCGUGCAGGAACCGACGGCCCUAUGGGUUGUAAACUGCUUUUAUGCGGGGAUAAAGUGCAGCACGUGUGCUGUUUUGUAGGUACCGCAUGAAUAAGGGCCGGCUAAUUCCGUGCCAGCCGCUGC